GGGCCCGUGGUCUAGCGGUCUAGGACGCCCGCCUGACGCGCGGGAGAGGGAGCUCGCCCCGAGGUCCCGGGUUCGAAUCCCGGCGGGCCCACCA
rnacentral:tRNA from 1 species